rnacentral:lncRNA from 10 species
ACUCAAACUCCCUCUGUGCAAGUCCUGGCUGUGUUUCUUGCUACCGGCGUAAUGGGCUAUUUAAGCAGCAGUGCAUGUCUCCUCACAUUUGAAAAUAUUGAUUGGGUCUUGAAGACAGAAUAACAAGCGCCAGAACUCAAGCAUUUUGCCAGGAGUGGUGCUGCCUCAUCAGUACUUCAGAUCCAGGCAGGGAAACUGUCAGCAGAACUGCUCCAAAGUCUGCUUUGUGAAAUGCACAUAAGCGGUCUCCCAGGCCCACUUUCCAUCCUUCUCCUUUCUGAGGAGGAGGUGGUUAGAAAAAAAAGAAGAAGACAACAAAAGAGUAGAUGAGAGAGAUGUGGCAAAAGAAGAGGCAGAAGAGAAGAGGCAAGAGAAGGAUUCUCCCACCCAUUGCUGUCUUUAGAGAUGCAGGCUAUGAGCCAAAAAGCACAGAUAGCUCCGGAAGCUGAGGACAAGCCACACUGCCCACACUCCCGCAACUGCCCAGAACUGAAUUUUGCCAAUUACCUGCAUAAAUCAGAAAAUGGAUGCUCACUAGAGUCUCCAGAAGGGAGCCUGGCUUGCUGACACCUAGAUUUUUGUCUUGUGAGACUGAUCAGAGGAAUUAUCCCAGCACACUUGACUUCUGAAAUUGUGAUAUAUCUAUGCCUGCAGAAACCCAUG